rnacentral:rRNA from 1 species
UAAGAGGUCCCGCCUGCCCUGUGACUAUAUGUUUAACGGCCGCGGUAUUUUGACCGUGCGAAGGUAGCGCAAUCACUUGUCUUUUAAAUAGGGACCUGUAUGAAUGGCAUAACGAGGGCUUGACUGUCUCCUCUUUCAAGUCAAUGAAAUUGAUCUCCCCGUGCAGAAGCGGGGAUAAAUACAUAAGACGAGAAGACCCUAUGGAGCUUUAGACACUAAAGCAGAUCAGCAUUAAUACCCCACACACGGGAUUCGAAUAAACUGACCCCUGCCCUAAUGUCUUCGGUUGGGGCGACCGCGGAGAAAUAUAAAACCCCCGCAAGGACUGAAUGUACCACAUUCACAACCAAGAGUGACAGCUCUAAUUAACAGAAUUUCUGACCAAUAAGAUCCGGCAAUGCCGAUCAAUGGACCAAGUUACCCUAGGGAUAACAGCGCAAUCUCCUCUUAGAGCCCAUAUCGACGAGGAGGUUUACGACCUCGAUGUUGGAUCAGGACAUCCUAAUGGUGCAGCCGCUAUUAAGGGUUCGUUUGUUCAACG